rnacentral:rRNA from 1 species
AUUGAACGCUGGCGGCAGGCUUAACACAUGCAAGUCGAGCGGAGAUGAGGUGCUUGCACCUUAUCUUAGCGGCGGACGGGUGAGUAAUGCUUAGGAAUCUGCCUAUUAGUGGGGGACAACAUUCCGAAAGGAAUGCUAAUACCGCAUACGUCCUACGGGAGAAAGCAGGGGAUCUUCGGACCUUGCGCUAAUAGAUGAGCCUAAGUCGGAUUAGCUAGUUGGUGGGGUAAAGGCCUACCAAGGCGACGAUCUGUAGCGGGUCUGAGAGGAUGAUCACCGAAACUGGGACCGGGACACGGCCCAGACUCCUACGGGAGGCAGCAGUGGGGAAUAUUGGACAAUGGGGGGAACCCCGAUCCGGCCAUGCCGCGUGUGUGAAGAAGGCCUUAUGGUUGUAAAGCACUUUAAGCGAGGAGGAGGCUACUGAGACUAAUACUCUUGGAUAGUGGACGUUACUCGCAGAAUAAGCACCGGCUAACUCUGUGCCAGCAGCCGCCGUAACAC